rnacentral:rRNA from 1 species
UCCGGUGCCUCUUGCUGUGAGGUCACACCUGUUCCCAUCCCGAACACAGCCGUUAAGCUCACAUGCGCCGAUGGUAGUGCGAUUGUGCGAGAGUAGGUUGGUGCCGGGA